UACGUAGGGGGCAAGCGUUGUCCGGAAUCAUUGGGCGUAAAGCGCGUGUAGGCGGCUCGGUAAGUCUGCUGUGAAAGUCCAGGGCUCAACCCUGGGAUGCCGGUGGAUACUGUCGGACUAGAGUACGGAAGAGGCGAGUGGAAUUCCCGGUGUAGCGGUGAAAUGCGCAGAUAUCGGGAGGAACACCAAUUGCGAAGGCAGCUCGCUGGGACGUUACUGACGCUGAGGCGCGAAAGCGUGGGGAGCAAACAGG
rnacentral:rRNA from 1 species